ACUGUGUAUUGGCGUUGUGCAAGAAAGAGUUCUCUGCUAAAUCCAAAUAUAAAAGGUGAAGGUGGGCAUUUGUGUUUCAUUUCACUAUUGGAUAUACAACAAUCAUCUUCCCCUCAUUCUUUUUUCCUUUUCUUUCCCUUUACAUCUCUUCUUUUCUUUAUGAAAGACGAAUCAAUCAGUGUUUUUAAUCUUUUUUGUUGGUUUAAUUUUCUUGAACAUAGCCGGUCGAUGCGUUGAUGUAGUUAAAUCUUGGAGGAUUUGAUUUCAUUGUUAUGUCAUUGUGCGUUUUAUAAAAUGUUUAAAAGAAAAGGAGAAUGAAAAGAAGCAGGCAGGGACAGUGUGUAUCGGCGUUGUGCAAAAAACAGUGCACUCUGCACGAAAGAAUUCCCUGCAAAAUUGAAAUAUAAAAGGGGAAGGUGGGCAGUUGUAUUUCAUUUCUCUAUUGAAUAUACAACAAUCAUCUUCCCCACAUUCUCUUUUCCUUUUCUUUCCUUUUACAUCUCUUCUUUUCUUUAUGAAAGACGAAUCAAUCAGUGUUUUUAAUCUUUUUUGUUGGUUUAAUUUUCUUGAACAUAGCCGGUCGAUGCGUUGAUGUAGUUAAAUCUUGGAGGAUUUGAUUUCAUUGUUAUGUCAUUGUGCGUUUUAUAGAAUGUUUAAACAAAAAUAAGAAUGAAAAGAAGUUGUAGGGAUAGUGUAUUGGCGUUGUGCAAGACAGAGUUCUCUGCUAAAUCAAAAUAUAAAAGGUGAAGGUGGGCAUUUGUGUUUCAUUUCGCUAUUGGCUAUACAACAAUCAUCUUCCCCUCAUUCUUUUUUCAUUUUCUUUCCCUUCACAUCUGUUCUUUUCUUUAUGAAAGACGAAUGAAUCAGUGCUUUUAAUUUUUUUUGUAGUUAUUUCUUGGAGGAUUUGAUUUCAUUGUUAUGUCAUUGUGCGUUUUAUAGAAUGUUUCAAAGUAAAUGAGAAUGAAAAGAAGCUGCAGGGACAAUGUGUAUUGGCGUUGUGCAAAAAACAGUGCACUCUGCAUGAAAGAGUUUCGUGCAAAAUUCAAAUAUAAAAGGAGAAGGUGGGCAGUUGUAUUUCAUUUCUCUAUUGGAUAUACAACAAUCAUCUUCUCCACAUUCCUUUUUCCUUUUCUUUCCCUUUACAUCUCCUUUUCUUUAUGAAAGACGAAUCAAUUAAGUGCUUUUAAUAUUUUUUGUAGUUAAAUACUAGAUGAUUUGAUUUCAUUGUUAUGUCAUUGUGUGUUUGAUAGAAUGUUUAAAAGAAAAUGAGAAUGAAAAGAAGCAAGCAGUGAUAUUGUGUAUUGGCGUUGUGCAAAAAACAGUGCGCUCUGCACGGAAGAGUUCCCUGCAAAAUCUAAAUAUAAAUGGGGAUGGUGGGCAUUUGUGUUUCAUUUCACUAUUGGAUAUACAACAAUCAUCUUCCCCUCAUUCUUUUUUCCUUUUCUUUCCCUUCACAUCUCUUCUUUUCUUUAUGAAAGACGAAUGAAUCAGUGCUUUUCUUUGUAUUAUUAAAGAAUAUUAUAUGGACCUUCACCUUUUCAAUCGGUGUUUAUUAAUCUUUUUUGUUGUUUAAUUUUCUUGAACAUAGCCGAUCGAUGCGUUUAAGUAGUUAAAUCCUAGAGUAUUUGAUUUUAUUGUUAUGUCAUUUGUGCGUUUGAUAAAAUGUUUAAAAGAAAAGGAGAAUAAAAAGAAGCAGGCAGGGACAGUGUGCAUCGGCGUUGUGCAAAAAACAGUGCACUCUGCACGAAAGAAUUCCCUGCAAAAUUGAAAUAUAAAAGGGGAAGGUGGGCAGUUGUAUUUCAUUUCUCUAUUGAAUAUACAACAAUCAUCUUCCCCACAUUCCCUUUUUUUUUCUUCCCCUUUACAUCUCUUCUUUUCUUUAUGAAAGACGAAUCAAUCAGUGUGGGUCUGAUAAUAACAGAAGGAGGGGGACUAUAAUAACAAAACAAAGUACAGAAAAGUUUUUUCAUUUGUUAUGUUGAAACAAGGUGUGGGUCUGAUCAAAGAUGGAAGUGUCCUUGCAUGAACCUUUUUGAUUUUUGCAUGAUUAACUAUUUUAGCUUCCUUUGACUUUGUAUUCAUUUCAGUAGAAAUUACAUAUUUUUCCACAUGUCUAACUACAGGCGGGACCUAAUAGUUGAACAAACAAUGAAUCAGAGGUAUGGGGGUGAAUGCCUGGUCUUGAAUCAAGUGGGAAUAAUGCUAUAAUACUAGUCAUGGAUGAUGCUGAUAUCCAACUUGCUGUUGGAUCUGUUUUGUAGAUUGGUAUAAUCUUCUACAGCUGUAUUCUUUUUUUCCUUUACAAACCUCGGCACUUAAAUCUAAAAAUUUGCUCUUGUUUUUCUUUGUCCCUUUGAAUUUAACAG
rnacentral:lncRNA from 1 species